rnacentral:lncRNA from 1 species
ACACGGAUUAUUACGGAGGGAGAGGGAGCGUUGCUUAUGUGAGAGGUAGAAGAAGGAAGAGGCAACGGCUGAGCGUUAAAUACUGGAAAAUUAGGAAUUAGGGUUUUGUGGAGGGUGCGAUGGCGUACUAAUAAAUUACUGAACGCGGCUUCUUCAUCUCGUAAUAUUACGAAAUGCCCCAUUUCAUCGGAAUUUGGGCUGUGGUUGCGGGCCUGGUUCUAACGGGUCCAAUGCACCUCAGCUUGGAUAAGGCCUUGGUUGCCCAAUUGCUUUACCUUUUUGAGUUCUGAAUCCGUCCAUGGCAUUUUAUAUCUUUUUAAAUGACAUUUUAUCUUUUCGUCAGUUUUUUUUUUUUACUUUUCCAAAAUCGGAAAUAAAAUGGUAUUUACAAAAAAAAAAACUCUAAAAAUUUAAUUAUUUAAAUGAAAUAACUCAAUUGUUUAUUUUUGUUUUCUGUUUUGUUCCAUGCCAUGUCGUAAGCUAAUUAAAUUUGGGCAGACCUAAAUAAUCCGGCCGUUGGGUCAAGCCGCAACCCCCACUCCCCACCCCCUAUCCUGCACCCAAAAAUCAAAAGUAAUUUCGUCAAAUGUUGCUGCAGACAAAAACUGGAACUUAAAAUAAUGAACCCUCUAAUUCUCAAUGCGUUGUUCUUUUUGAUCUCAACGCAACCAUACCCUACUUCCAAAAGAUAACAAAAAUAAGAAAUUCAUAUUGAGCUUUAACCAAAGGGACUUAACUUAAUAGGGAUGUUAACAAGCUGAGUUAAGCUUUCAUGUACUCGAGCUUGUUUAUUAAGAUUUUAGCAAAUUUGCGUUCAAGCCGAGCUGACUUAGACUUGAAUCAAGCUCAACUCAUUUACUAAAGGAGCCUGGUACUUAGGCUUGAGCUUGUUUGUUUACCAAGCGAACCAAAUCAAACCCGAGCCUGCUUGCAAACGACUCAAAUCGUUUGCAGCUCUACAGUUACCUGUGCACAGGGCAGUAGAGAGAGAGAGAUUCAAUUAAUUGACAAACAAAUAUGUAAAGCACAUUCAAAAGAAAGGAAUCAGUGGAAGAACACUGAAACUGAAAGAACUUCUCAUUUCAAAAAUUGUAUGAAGGUAGCAUUUUACACAAACAAAUACCUUUGAACAAACAGUAAAAAAAAUCUUAGAUUUCUCAAAAAGGGGCAUGUGUGAUUGCAAAGUGGGAAAGUCACAACAAGUUAGCAGCAGAUAGGAUAAGAGACAGUGAGUAAAUUUAAAAACUAGAAUACAAUAGAUUACCUGUAAUAAAGUUGGAAAGAUCCCAAGGUUCUAAUGACUUUACAUAUAAUGUGUCCAGCUGUGGUUUUGGGACUUCAUUUCCAUAUCAUACAGAUACAGAAAGUAGCAUGUCCAUAUACUAUACAAAGUGCAUAAACUAACAUAACCAACAAAACAGAUAAAAGUUCUAGUCAUGCCGAUUGCCUUAUUUUUCUUUAUUUACAUCUGUAAAGAUAGUGAAUACAUAAACUACUAGAGAAUGUAAACCUUCAUUCGUAUUUCCAAUUCAAAACAUAAAAGAGCACUCGGCCGUUGCCAUUUGGCAAACUUUUAUUCUUGCUUGGACAGCCAAAUCUACAGUUACAGUAGUUAUGGAUGUAAACAUAUAUAUAUAUAUAUAUAUAUAUAUCAAUCUGCAAUAAAAAGGCAAAACAAACCAAAAAGCACAGUAACAUAACUCGUGGCAUCAUGAAUGCCUACCGUAAGAUUGAAACAAAUGGGGUAGGCGUAAAAGACAAUAAAUAUUAAAUCAUUCUGAACCAUUAUAAAGAAAUUUUCAACAAUUUUUAAGUUUGAGAAAAUAAAAGGCAAAAUGAAAUAUUGUACCCUUCUAAUACAUAGGACAUAAAAAAAAACAGGUUACUAUGGUGUGUGCAUAUCAUCGUUCCUGCAACCGCAUUACCUUCCCUCGGUAUUACCAGAGGACUAUGAAUUGUAGUAGGCUAGAGUGGAUGGUUUGACAAAACUAUGUUACACGGACUCUUUCAAAAUAAUCGGAAGAGGCAUGGCCCACUGAUCCGUGAACAGGUUCAACCCCUCUCACUGUCAUCACUCCUGUAACACUUGGUGGAUAUAAAACGUUCCACAGAGUUCUUCUAUCACGACAAGCUCAGACACGUAAUAUAUAAAUCAAGUACAAGGUGUGGUAUGCGUUCCUGAUACAUGUUGUAUUAUAGUAUUAAACAUUGUUGUUAUAUCCAUAUUCUAUAAAAUGGGUAAAAAUUGCUUUUUUGACACUUUAUAUUAAAUAAAACACCACUUUAUCCCUCAAACUAGAUUAAAAUACAGACAAAUAUGCUCACUUUUUUGCCAAGUCCGCAUACCUUUUAACCAGAGUUUCUAUGGGUUCGAUCCUACAUACGCACCCGCAUCCGACACCCAAACCUGAGUCUAUGUAACAUAGGGGGUCAAGGUUCCUUGCCCCAUUCUCCCAUGAGGGAACUGGCACCUAGAGAGAUAGAGAGACCCCCACAAGAACAGAAAACUAAACCUUGACCAUGACACAUGACACUCCAGAAGGUGUAUCGUACCUACUACCUAUUGCACCCUCCUAACACAAACCACGAGGUCUAAGUAGUGGGAUUGGUAGUUCAGAGACCUCCAAGGGGAAUGGCCCUCAAGAACCCACCAAGGUAGCCUAGCGGUUUAAGGUGACCAACAGUAAAUUCAGAGGUCUUGUAUUCAACUCUUGUUGGCGGCGCUUUGACUUAUCCAAUACUUGUGGCUUGUGGGUGGUUGCAAAGUAUUUGGGGUUUAUCCUGCUGGGGUGCGGGUGCAUCCAAAGUGCCCAUGCUUUGGAGGAGUUACUCGUUACCAAAAAGAAAAAAUAGACCCUUAUGUUUGAUGUAUAGGAUGUUGCGCAUUUUCAUGCAAGACAAACAAUACAACAGAGGACCAACACUACAACACAUUCUCUUCAUCUAAGAACGCCUCAACUUCAUCUCCCCCACCUUUGGUGUUAGUAAUGUUACCAGAGAACCCACAGUUUGUCCACUCACAACCAACCCGCCCACAAUCCACUCCGCUAGGAAGAGUGGUAAUCUCUAUGCGUGUCAACUUAGACAAGGAGGCAGCAGAAUUGCGACCCGUUACAAAUAGAAUCAAGCAAUAUGUACACACUCCUUUUGUGGAAGAUUCUUAAUUGGGCUGCUUGGUAGUGGCUGCUAAUUUUGACCAACAUCCAUAAGCUAUAACUUAUUUGGUUACACCAAGAGCAUCAAACCAAUUUUCUAUGGCACAUCCUCCGCAGAGCGACCAGCCGACCACCUAAUGGAGGAACAACAAAAGCUAUAGACCCACACCAUUCGAGUCUUGUUUUUAUAGAAGGAUACCCUUGCUACCUCACAUUUUCAAUCAAGAUAUAACGUGAAUAAUAAGAUCCCAGGUAAAUUCAGGACAAACUUCCAAACCACAUUCCUAUAUCAAACCAUAAACCCACCAGGAUUGACACAAUCUUUGAAUCUUAAAGAACAUCAACAUGAAUAUUAUCACUUGUACUACAACACAUCUUAUUCAUUACCCACCCGUAGCUUUAAGCCAAUGAAAUUGCUGUUGUUACCAAGAAGAAUGAAGAUAGGCUAGAUAGCCAUGGCAACAGCCACCACCUCCACUGAAACCAGCAGCACAUUGUGCCAUCACAACUUCAAACCAUCAUGGCACCCACACGAUCGAUCUCCAUUGACAUUUUUGUCCACCACUUCACUGAAAUGUAAUGAAGCAGGACAAAAAAAUACAUGCAAGUAUCAUUUUCCCAUCAGUCUUUCAAAUGCAAUAUAGCCACUACAAUAGCGUGUCCUGACAUUCCAUAAUCACGCAUACCACUUUAAAAACCAAUCUUAUUACAAUUUCCUAAAUGAAUUAAGCACCAGUUUAAUUAAUGUGACAGCCUUCCGUAGAGAUGGGAUUUGAUCUAGUAAUUCAUUUUGCCAUCACUUUGAUGCUUUUAUUUCAACGCCCCCAUAGCUUCUAUAAUUGAAUACGCCGACUUUCCAGAAUAAAAAUUCACUUAAAAAUGAAUUGAUUAAGACAACUUAGAUCUAUUCAAGUAUAUUAUAUAGUAAAAUUUUAGACUUCAAAUUUUUUUUGAGCAAUAAUGAUUGCCUAAAUUAACUAAAAUCCUAUCAAAUUAAUGUAACAGCCUUCAAUAGAGAUGGAAAACAAGAGUUCCCACAGCAAAAUUGUACAUCAAUAAGAAACAACCUAACCAACACACAGGCAAAGACAACAGGAUUUUAUUGCUAUAUUACUGAGCAAUAAAACCUUUAACUCUCACUUGCAUUACUACAAAAAAAAAAAAAAGGAAUUAAACACACAUCAUUUUUAAAUAAUCGGCCUCCUCGUGUUUAUCAAAAUCUAGGAAGCAUGAGUACUUCAACUAACAUGUCAUACUCAUUUGUACUCAUACCGAUUACUGGCCAUACUUGCAUGGUACUUCUAUGUAGGGUAUGCUAAAAUGCUUAUCGAAUUUUUUUCCUUAAGUUUUGUCGUAACCCAGCUUACCCAUGAUACACUGCCCUAGCCAUACCGCACCAAAAUAGUUUGUCCUUUUAUAUAAAGAUGAAGGUAGCUUGUUGGGAUUUUUUUCUCUUAACUUAACAUACCAAUAAUAUUAAACUUUGGUACCUAGAUUUUUAAGGCAAUGACAUAAACUCCAGACUCUACCAAACCGAAGAUUCGGGAUUAACGGGAGGAAUUGCGCGUGCUAAAUGUCUAACCUUUGAUUAAAAUGUGGUUUAAAGCUUGAAUUCUUAAUUAAUUAAGUCAUUAACUAAUUUUUUUACAUUUAGUUACCUAAUUAUUACAUAUAAUACAUUGCUAAAAAAUAUAAAAAUAUAGACAUACCCUAGUGAUACCUGUUCUCUAGUUUUUUAGGUUUUUCGUAUCGACAAACGCGUACACAUGCUUCAUAUAUCAAAAUCAAUUCCAUGUACCUCGAAAUUAGAAAGUUUUCAGUUUUUCGCUCUAAAAUUUAUUAGUUAGUAUAGCAUUUUCCUUAUUGCAAGAAUAAGAUUGCAGAUCAACUCUAAUAAUAUAAACAGGAACAAAACAUAGAAAAUAAAAAAUAGAAAAAUAGAAAAGCAUACAUACCAUCUCCUAAAUCAUCUGCUCUACAAAAAAAAUCAGAUAGUUUCACAACAUCAUUCCUCCACAUAUCAACAGAUACCAAACUACAAAUACAUCAAUACAAUAUAUGUUUAUAUAUACACACACACAUACAUAUAUAUAUAUAUAUAUGUGGGUGGGUGUGUAUGUAUAUGUAUUUAUAUGUAUAUGUAUUUAUAUAUGUGCAUAUACAUGUAUGCAUUUGUGUAUACAGUUUGUGAUUGGGUAUACCAUCAACUAUCAGGUGGAUCUGCUCUCUGGAUCUAUGAACCAAAGCCAUUCAACGGCUCAUAUUCGUCGAUCGCCUAUAAACCCAACAACCCAACACGUCCCUGUCCCAAAUCCACCCGAUCUAAACCUCACCUCACAAAAACAAUAGUAGUAGCAGUACUUUUCUAGGGCAAAAAAUAAAGUGGCUAAAAGGUACUCAGAAAAGAAACGUUAAUGAUAUUGGGGUGUUGCGGCGAAGGCAGAUCGCGAGUUUGUGCGUGAAUCUAACGCCAUUUCGCCUAGGGAUUCGAACCCAAACAGGCAGUGGACGGUCCCGAUAACGGGGUUAGAUUCACGCACAAACUAGAGAUAUGCCUCCGCGAUAGAGAGAGAGAGAGAAGCCGAGUACUUGAACGAUUUGAUAUGCUCCUGAUAGGUUCAAGGGUUGCUUUAUAUAGACUGAGAAUCGGAGAGAAGAGAGAGAUAAUGUUUUGUGAAAUUAGGAAAGAUGGAGAGAAAU